rnacentral:rRNA from 1 species
GGUAGCAUGAUCAGGGGGUUAAUAAUUGAAGUCUGGCAUGAAAGGAUACAUGGGGAGUACCUGUCUUUUAGGGUUAACCUGAAAUUAAUUAGCAAGUGAAAAUGCUUGUAGACAUUUAAUAGACGAGAAGACCCUAGAAAUUUUCUAUAAAAUAGUGUUAAUUACUAGUAUUAUUUUGUUGGGGCGACAAAAUAACAAUAAACUUAUUUUAUUAAAUUAGAACUACAUGUUGAGUUAAAAUAAAUUACUCUAGGGAUAACAGCAUAAUCUAUUAGAGUUUGUGACCUCGAUGUUGGACUAGGGAUUUACGUGUUUAGAAGACACUAGAACGAGCUNUGU